AGGCACAGGAUGGGGUCAUGGUAGGC
rnacentral:piRNA from 1 species